rnacentral:antisense_RNA from 1 species
GACCCGGUAGGGCAUCGGGCGGCCGGCGGCCCAGGCGGCGGCGUCGAAGUAGUCGCCGUCGCCGAGGACUUCGAGCAGGGCGUCGGCGCCGUGGGCGCCGGUGGCGCGCUUCUCGGCGCGGCCGUGGGCCAGGACGUGCAGGCGGUCGGCGGGGGCGUCCUGGGCGACGAUCGGCUGCCCGGCGGGGAUCUCGUGCUCGGUGAAGGCGUCCGCGAGGGCGGCCAGCACGGGGCCGUCGAGCUGGCUGAGCAGCGGGAGUUCGCGCAGGUCCUCGGCGAUCACCCGCCACCGGCCGUCGCCGUCCUGGUAGCUGCUGACCAGGCCGUCGCCGAGGAUGAAGCCGCGCCGGCGGUUGACCCGGUAGACGCCGGCCUCCAACUCGACCCAGGGCAGGGCGCGCAGCAGGUAGCGCGGGGUGAUGCCGAGCAUCUGCGGGGCGGUCUUGGUGGUGGUCGCCAGGUUGCGGGCGGCGGAGGUGCUCAGGCUCCGCGGGCCCUGCCG